UACGGAGGGUGCAAGCGUUAAUCGGAAUUACUGGGCGUAAAGAGUGCGUAGGCGGUUUGAUAAGCGGAGUGUGAAAUCCCCGGGCUUAACCUGGGAACUGCAUUCCGAACUGUCAAGCUAGAGUAUGAUAGAGGGUGGUGGAAUUCCGAGUGUAGCGGUGAAAUGCGUAGAUAUUCGGAGGAACACCAAUGGCGAAGGCGACCACCGAGAUCUACACUGACGCUGAGGUACGAAAGCGUGGGGAGCAAACAGG
rnacentral:rRNA from 1 species